GGAGUUGUAGCUCAGUGGUAGAGUGCAUACCUAACAUGUGUGAGUACUAGGUUCAAUUCUCAGCAUCACAU
rfam:Ictidomys tridecemlineatus contig106019, whole genome shotgun sequence.